GACGUAGGGCGCGAGCGUUGUCCGGAUUUAUUGGGCGUAAAGAGCUCGUAGGCGGCUUGUCGCGUCGACUGUGAAAACCCGUGGCUCAACCAUGUGGUCUGCAGUCGAUACGGGCAGGCUAGAAUUCGGUAGGGGAGACUGGAAUUCCUGGUGUAGCGGUGAAAUGCGUAGAUAUCAGGAGGAACACCGGUGGCGAAGGCGGCUAUCUGGACAGAGUCUGACGCUGAGGCGCGAAAGCUAGGGGAGCAAACAGG
rnacentral:rRNA from 1 species